GAAACGUAAGAAAAUGUUCGAGAAUGAGGCCCAUUGUCCUUUAAGAUGCAAUUGUCAUUCUAAGAAUCUCAAGAUCAAUGUUUCCAGAUUUAGGAAUGGCCUAUCCACACUUGAUGUGAUUCAUGCUCUGGAGCAGCAUCCAAACCUUUUCAGACCGUGUAUGUGCUCCAGUUUGGAGAAACUGACAUCUGAAUCACUCAAGGGGAUCUUCAAGAUUCAGCUCAGUGAAGUAGGCAGCACCAGACGACAGGAGGAAACCAGAAUACUGGGACACUGGAGAGACUACCUUCUUGAAACGGAAGAGCAAGGAACAGAACUCUGCUUCCAGGAUAUCUUGAUGUUAGCUACUGGACUGAACUCCCUGCCUCCUUCUUCAAUUCUGCCACAGCCCACACUUUCUUUUGAAAGGACCUCCAGAUUCCCAGUUGCCAGGACCUGUUCAAACCCAAUCAGCUUACCAAUGUCCACAAGUCUUCAAGAGUUCAAGAAUGCAAUGGACUUCGGGAUGCAAAACUCACCAGGUUUUGGACUCCACUGAGCUUACUUCAGACAGCUAAAAGACUCCCAGUUCAGAGAUGAGGUCAAACCGCUUUGUCUUUGUAGUUCUUCAAAGUAUUCCUGCAGUUGGUCAUCUCCACAUGGACUCCGGGAAGCCUCAACUACAAAUGGGGCCAAAUCUUCCUGCGAGACAGGGAAGCUGUAGUCUCUUCCAUUAAACCUAUUAGUAAAAUGAGAAAUUGUUAAGAUUGAUGUUAAAGUGUUAAAGAUUUGUCUACAUUCAUACAUCUAAGUAGUAACAUCUAAGCACUAACUAAGUAAAUGUAAUCUGAUGCAAUGCACUGUAAGAUGUUACUAUAUUUAGUAAUGGUAAACACUAUGCUGUAGCUCUGUUGCUGUUUUUUUAUAUUUUGCUCUGCCUUGUUGUGCGACAGUUACAGCCUGUUCUCUAUACAAGUAACCAGGACUUGAUCUAUAAUGUUAACGUGAUUUUGUUUUCAAUUCAGUUAACUAAUUUAAUGCUGCAUCAUUUACUCUCUCCAUCUCUUUCUGUAAC